CUUAUGAAGAGUGGUGGAGGGAACAGGCCCUAUGAAGCCCGGCAACCUGCAUUUUGUGCAAGGUGCCAAAUCCUGCGGCAUGGCCGACAGAUGAGG
rnacentral:ncRNA from 1 species